rnacentral:rRNA from 1 species
CUUGGAGCCCGACCCUCACUUUCUAACCCUGUGCAUUUGUCUUGGGUAGUAGCUCGUGUCAGCGAGCGAAUCCCAUUUCACUUACAAACACAAAGUCUAUGAAUGUAACAAAUUUAUAACAAACAAAACUUUCAACAACGGAUCUCUUGGCUCUCGCAUCGAUGAAGAACGCAGCGAAAUGCGAUACGUAAUGUGAAUUGCAGAAUUCAGUGAAUCAUCGAAUCUUUGAACGCACCUUGCGCUCCAUGGUAUUCCGUGGAGCAUGCCUGUUUGAGUGUCAUGAAUUCUUCAACCCACCUCUUUCUUAGUGAAUCAGGCGGUGUUUGGAUUCUGAGCGUUGCUGGCUUCACGGCCUAGCUCGCUCGUAAUGCAUUAGCAUCCGCAAUCGAACUUCGGAUUGACUCGGCGUAAUAGACUAUUCGCUGAGGAUUCUGGUCUCUGACUGGAGCCGGGUGAGAUUAAAGGAAGCUACUAAUCCUCAUGUCUAUCUU